rnacentral:rRNA from 1 species
CCUGGCUCAGAUUGAACGCUGGCGGCAGGCCUAACACAUGCAAGUCGAGCGGAUGAAGAGAGCUUGCUCUCUGAUUCAGCGGCGGACGGGUGAGUAAUGCCUAGGAAUCUGCCUGGUAGUGGGGGACAACGUCUCGAAAGGGACGCUAAUACCGCAUACGUCCUACGGGAGAAAGCAGGGGACCUUCGGGCCUUGCGCUAUCAGAUGAGCCUAGGUCGGAUUAGCUAGUUGGUGAGGUAAUGGCUCACCAAGGCGACGAUCCGUAACUGGUCUGAGAGGAUGAUCAGUCACACUGGAACUGAGACACGGUCCAGACUCCUACGGGAGGCAGCAGUGGGGAAUAUUGGACAAUGGGCGAAAGCCUGAUCCAGCCAUGCCGCGUGUGUGAAGAAGGUCUUCGGAUUGUAAAGCACUUUAAGUUGGGAGGAAGGGUUGUAAAUUAAUACUCUGCAAUUUUGACGUUACCGACAGAAUAAGCACCGGCUAACUCUGUGCCAGCAGCCGCGGUAAUACAGAGGGUGCAAGCGUUAAUCGGAAUUACUGGGCGUAAAGCGCGCGUAGGUGGUUUGUUAAGUUGGAUGUGAAAGCCCCGGGCUCAACCUGGGAACUGCAUUCAAAACUGACAAGCUAGAGUAUGGUAGAGGGUGGUGGAAUUUCCUGUGUAGCGGUGAAAUGCGUAGAUAUAGGAAGGAACACCAGUGGCGAAGGCGACCACC